rnacentral:lncRNA from 1 species
AUGCCUGGAAAGCUGUGGUCCAAGGCCGUUUUUGCCGUCAGCAGGAUCUCCAGAACCAAAGGGAGGACACAGCUCUUCUUAAAACUGAAGGUAUUUAUGGCUGACAUAAAAUGAGAUUUGAUUUGGGCAGGAAAUGCGCUUAUGUGUACAAAGAAUAAUACUGACUCCUGGCAGCAAACCAAACAAAACCAGAGUAAGGUGGAGAAAGGUAACGUGUGCCCACGGAAACAGUGGCACAAUGUGUGCCUAAUUCCAAAGCAGCCGUCCUGCUUAGGCCACUAGUCACGGCGGCUCUGUGAUGCUGUACUCCUCAAGGAUUUGA